GUAAGUGUUCAAAAUCCCCUUUUAUUGGUUGUUGGCAUCCAGGUGAACCAAUGGCACAAGAGUAAGAUUUAAUCACCAAAAAAAUAAAACAGAGAGUUCCAGUUUCACAAAGUAAAAAAAAAUAAAAAAAAGUGGAUUUUUUAUUUUAUUUAUAUAGUUACAUUUAGUAAAUUACCCAGAAACACUUGAGUCAUACACAGGCAUUACCAAGAACUACAGUGAGGUACUCUAACCUCUCACCUGUGUGAACCAACAGUCAACACACACAUAUCCAUCCACUAACACCACAUCAUUGACCUCUUGGACUAGAUCACAGUGGAUCACAUUUACAUGAUAAUGGAGGAGAUGAAGCACCAGAUUCCAGUUGUGGAGGAGGAGUGAAACCAGGAAGUGAGAUGGUUUUUAUAUCAAUGACCAACAGAUCGUUCUCCAUGAUAAUGGCUGUGCCUUUAGAGAGGGAAAUUAAAAGAAAUUCUUCCAGUCAGAGAGGUUUUAACGUCCGAACGGGAUCGGCGAUCCCGUCAGAGAGGUUAACGUCCGACCGGCGAUCCCGUCAGAGAGGUUAACGUCCGACCGGCGAUCCCGUCAGAGAGGUUAACGUCCGACCGGGAUCGGGGAUCCCGUCAGAGAGGUUAACGUCCGACCGGGAUCGGGGAUCCCGUCAGAGAGGUUAACGUCCGACCGGGAUCGGGGAUCCAGUCAGAGAGGUUAACGUCCGACCGGGAUCGGGGAUCCAGUCAGAGAGGUUAACGUCCCACCAGAUCAGAGCUCUGGACAGCUGUAAGGACACACACUUCCUUCAUGAAAACAACAUUUAACAGGUUAUUUCCUGUCUGGGAGAUCAAAAUCUCCACCAAUGAGCUCACAGCUAGAGGAAGACAUAAUUUCCUCUAGGUUAACAUUGUAAAUUUCCUGUGAUUCAAUAUGAGAUGAGGGACUAAAACCCAUUCCAGAAUCCGCUUCCAGUUUUUACACAACGCUCAGAGACCAGCGGGUCUCUACUUCCAGACAGGCCCGGAUUCAAUACCAUCACUGCUUUUUUUAGACAAUGCGCCAUUUAAAAAAUACAAAUAAAAUGGCGCAUUGUCCAAAAAUCUCCAACCAAUGAGCUCACAGCUAGAUGAUGACAUCAUUUCCUUUAGGUUACACAUUGGAACAUUUUACAUUUCCUGUGAUUCAAUAUUAUGAGAUGAGGGAGUAAAACCCCAUUCCAGAAUCCACUUCCAGUUUUUCCACGGCGCUCAGAGUCCAGCGGGUCUCUACUUCCAGACAGAACCGAUUCUGUAUCAUCACUGCUUUUAUUUCUUCUUCUAAAAGGGUCAUUUCAAAAUAAGCCGACAUAUGCAGCGUUUACCGUAAACAUUGCAUUGUGGGAUUGAAUCCUGGCCAACAAAAUCAGGUCAUGGAUGAUAAAUCAGUGGUUUAAUACAGAGACAGACAGGUGGAGGGAGACACCUGGAUACAAAGACCAAAAUAAACACACAGAGACGGAUAGAGAGAGAGAGAGAGAGAGACGGAUAGAGAGAGAGAGACGGAUAGAGACAGAUAGAGAGAGAGAGAGACAGAGAGACAGAUAGAGAGAGAGAGAGAGAGACGAUAGAGAGAGAGACGGAUAGAGAGACGAUAGAGAGAGAGACGGAUAGAGAGACGGAUAGAGAGAGAGACGGAUAGAGAGACGGAUAGAGAGAGAGACAGAGAGACGGAUAGAGAGAGAGACGGAUAGAGAGAGAGACGGAUAGAGAGAGAGACGGAUAGAGAGAGAGACGGAUAGAGAGAGAGACGGAUAGAGAGAGAGACGGAUAGAGAGACGGAUAGAGAGACGGAUAGAGAGACGGAUAGAGAGAGAGACGGAUAGAGAGAGAGACGGAUAGAGAGACGGAUAGAGACGGAUAGAGACGGAUAGAGACGGAUAGAGACGGAUAGAGACGGAUAGAGAGAGAGAGAGAGAGAGACGGAUAGAGAGAGAGAGAGACGGAUAGAGAGACGGAUAGAGAGACGGAUAGAGACGGAUAGAGACGGAUAGAGACGGAUAGAGACGGAUAGAGACGGAUAGAGACGGAUAGAGACGGAUAGAGACGGAUAGAGAGAGAGAGAGAGAGAGAGAGAGAGACGGAUAGAGAGAGAGAGAGACGGAUAGAGAGAGAGAGAGACGGAUAGAGAGACGGAUAGAGAGACGGAUAGAGAGACGGAUAGAGAGACGGAUAGAGAGACGGAUAGAGAGACGGAUAGAGAGACGGAUAGAGAGACGGAUAGAGAGACGGAUAGAGAGACGGAUAGAGAGAGAGAGACGGAUAGAGAGAGAGAGACGGAUAGAGAGAGAGAGAGUUCAGUUGAAGAAGUGUUUAGCUAAGAGGGGAGGGGCUUUAAAAAAGCGCUCUGUGUGUGUGGGGGGGGGGGGUCAGCUGUUUGAGAAUGGGCCAAUCAUACAUCUGGGACUGAGUGACACAUCGAGCCACGCUGCUAUUGGACGGGGGGAAAAGUGCACAGCCCCACUAACUUUGGCAACAAAUACAGGUGGGUACUGCAGAAUGGAACUAGAGGGGGGAAAGGGAGAGAGAGAGAGGGGGGGGAAAGGGAGAGAGAGAGAGGGGGGAAAGGGAGAGAGAGAGAGGGGGAGAGGGAGAGAGAGAGAGGGGGAAAGGGAGAGAG
rnacentral:lncRNA from 1 species